UAGAAAGCAGCUAGUUGCGAUUAGAGGCACUCUAGUUGCGAUCUUCCAGUUGUUAUUGUUGCUGGACAACAAUUUGGUGUUCGUUGGAAGUUUGUAAACAAAAGUAUGACAUGUGGAUGAUCAUAUUAUCUGGAAAAGGUAUGGAAAAUGAAUCCUCGUUGAUGAAAAAAAGUAAACGAAACCGGAAAGACCACGGCAGAAAACCAGGAGAAACGUAGGCGUCGCCUUUCCCAGGUGGAAAUCACUGAUAUACGAAAGAUGUUUUCAGAAAGGCACCGAAUUUCUUUUCUCCUGGACAGGGACAGCGUGAAGAUAAAGAGCAUGUGGGACCAUCCUGGAGGCGGGAGGGAGCCCUUUCUCCUCCCCAGGAGGGACCAUCGAGCCCAGUUAUACAAGCAAGUUGUUCCUCAGAAAGACUUCCACUCCAGCCGAAAAUUCCAGGCUCUGAUCUGACCUUUCAUUUCUGUCCUCAGCUGUCAUCCAGUGUCCAGAGUGGGAAGGGUGGGGAGGAGGAUAGGAAAAGGGAGGAAGAAGAAACGAAGAAGAGGCAGGAUGAGGAGGAAAGGAAAAGGAGGAACACGAAGACCUCCAGGUUGAGGACCGGGAGGAAAGGUUGAGUGACAGCUGGAAGAUGAAAACAGAGACGUUGUAAUAAAUAAUGAAGCCCAACUGAUAUGAGUCUUUUUUUAGGCUGAUUGGGAUGUUUGGCAGAAAAAAAUUCCAAUAAUUGAUCAAUCAGACGAUUAAUUAAAAAAAACAUAAUAAAUAAAAUAAUUUCUUUUUUGGUCCUGUAGUGCUUACAACAACAAAGAUGUGAAUAUCAAGCAGAACAUUUUACUGUUGUAGCUGCAGUUACUAACUAGUUUUAAGCUAACGCUAUGCUAGACGGAGUAACGUAAGCUAGCAAUCACCACAGAAGCCGUCGUAGUGACUGUAGGUCUUAUUUUUUCCUGCUGAUCUGAACAUGAAGCGGCUCAAACAAAUUCUCUUGAUCAGAUUAAAAAAUUCUUUCCAAUCGAGACAGAUUGGCUCAGCUGACAUUUUUACAUCAGGCAUUUUUAUUCUGAUUGGACGUUCACGCUAUUGUUAAUUUCACAACGUCGUUAUAAACUUACCUGUCGGCAAGCUUGACUCCGCUUGUAAUGCUGCCUGGCUGUGGCUUACUCCUGUAGUCACUGGGAAAACCGUGAUGAGGACUGAGGGUUCAGACUCCAUCUUUUGGACAAACGAGGCAACAUCAUCAUUCUGCACGACUCCAACACUAAACAGCAUUUACUCUUUUAUGAGAAAUUGAGAAUAUAUUGGCGUUUAAUCUGCAAAACUCCAGAUGAUUAUUUUGAAAGGUCUAUAAUCAGGCGAUUUAAUUCGCCAGCCGAUAAAACUGUCUGGCCCUAAAAAUAAUCAUUACAAUCUUGUUCUGGACAGGGGAAGCUUCCCCAAGCCUGACUCUGGGCUACAGUCACCUCGGACAUACCUGAGUUUUGUGGAUUGUUGUUUUGUAACUUAAAUUAUCUCUUAGUCAAUAAGGCUGGUUGAUCAUAACAGAUACCCGUAAGGAUUAAAGCACAAUCAUUGUCUACGACAAUUUUAUGUUCACUAGUGACUAACACCACAUUCAGUGUUUUCAGCAGUUUGUCUCGGCUUUGGUCUGCAGAAGACUGUACGUUCUGGCCUUAAAUAAUGGACAGUUUUUAAACAUUUGCUCGCAAAAUGUUCAGCCCACAACUAAGCAAAGGCUAAUUCAGCAUCCAUCUUGCAUCCUGUCUCUUCUCUGAGCUCUCUCCAAUCUGUAAAAGUCAGUCCAAUCUUGACUCUAGUCCUGUCUCCUGCUCUGUACCUUUCUGCAUUACUUUCCUCUCUUUCCUCGAUAAUGUCCUCUUCUAGGAUUUUUAUUGUUGAAUCAGCCAUGGUGCGCGCUCCAAACAGCCAGUGUGUUGAUAUCUAGUUUCCGUGAUGUGAUGCCUUGAAGCAAAAGGAAUCUGUCAUGUGACGCUCCAGGCUGGGACACAUGUUGUGAAGUUGGUUUCUCAGCCUCAGGAAGCUGCAGGGCAACGACGGCUCCAGGAAUGAACAGAAUAAAUGUCACUGUGCCUUUAAAACAAGUCAGACAACAUGGAGGUUUAAGAUUAAACGUGUAUAGUAUUGAUGAAAUGUUCAUGUGUGUUUCAGUGUUACCUGGAGGUGUGCAGCAGCUGAUGGUGAUAAAAGAAGAGGUUCCCUGGAGCUCCAGUCUGGACCACCAGGACCCAGAACCCCUUCAUAUAAAGAAAGAGGAGGAGGAACUCUGGACCAGUCAGGAGGGAGAGCAGC